GAAUCCUGACACAGGGAGGUAGUGACAAGAAAUAACAAUACAGGGCUACUUCUAGUCUUGUAAUUGGAAUGAGUACAACUUACAUCUCUUCACGAGGAUCAAUUGGAGGGCAAGUCUGGUGCCAGCAGCCGCGGUAAUUCCAGCUCCAAUAGCGUAUAUUAAAGUUGUUGCAGUUAAAAAGCUCGUAGUCGGAUUUCGGGUCGGGCCGAGCGGUCUGCCGAUGGGUAUGCACUGUUCGGCGCGGCCUUCUUUCCGGAGACCGCGGCUACUCUUAACUGAGCGGGCGUGGGAGACGGAUCGUUUACUUUGAAAAAAUCAGAGUGUUUCAAGCAGGCAGCUCGCUCUUGCAUGGAUUAGCAUGGGAUAAUGAAAUAGGACUCUGGUGCUAUUUUGUUGGUUUCGAACACCGGAGUAAUGAUUAACAGGGACAGUCA
rnacentral:rRNA from 1 species